AUUGAACGCUGGCGGCAUGCUUUACACAUGCAAGUCGAACGGUAACAGGUUAAGCUGACGAGUGGCGAACGGGUGAGUAAUGCAUCGGAACGUGCCCGGUCGUGGGGGAUAACGCAGCGAAAGCUGCGCUAAUACCGCAUACGAUCUGAGGAUGAAAGCGGGGGACCGUAAGGCCUCGCGCGAUCGGAGCGGCCGAUGUCAGAUUAGGUAGUUGGUGGGGUAAAGGCUCACCAAGCCGACGAUCUGUAGCUGGUCUGAGAGGACGACCAGCCCCACUGGGACGGAGACACGGCCCAGACUCCUACGGGAGGCAGCAGUGGGGAAUUUUGGACAAUGGGCGCAAGCCUGAUCCAGCAAUGCCGCGUGCAGGAAGAAGGCCUUCGGGUUGUAAACUGCUUUUGUACGGAGCGAAAAGGCUCUCUCUAAUACAGGGGGCUCAUGACGGUACCGUAAGAAUAAGCACCGGCUAACUACGUGCCAGCAGCCGCCGUAA
rnacentral:rRNA from 1 species